rnacentral:lncRNA from 1 species
AUGUGGCCAGGGCAGCAUUUGGAUUUUGCAGGUGGAGUUUGCCGUGGGAUCUGCUGUGUUCAGAGAGGCUCAGCAUCAAACCCCUCUUGUACUGCAACCCACAACUUGCUGUGGGCUUGUGGGAGCCAAAGGUGCCCUGGGGUGAGGCAGCAUCAGCCGAGUUUUUCCACGGGCAAAGGAUGCUAUAGGAUCCUGGAGCACAGGGAAGGAGUUUUAAUGCAAAAUACCAGAAAAAAAAGUCUGCAACAUCUCCUGUGAGAGGGGGGAAAAAAGGAGAUUAACAAUUGCUUCUUGAAACACUCAUGAUUUGAGGUACAGUUUACUCUGUGCAAGUUGUAAACUCCAUGGAGCAGGUGUUUGUACAGUGCAUAGCACAGCAGGACCCAGGUUUCAUCGAGGUGUCUGGACAUGCUCUUAUGUAAGUAAGAGUACUCUGUCUUGUGAGCAAUUAGAAUAGUUCACAUUAGCUGAAC